rnacentral:rRNA from 1 species
UACGUAGGGUGCAAGCGUUGUCCGGAAUUAUUGGGCGUAAAGAGCUCGUAGGUGGUUUGUCGCGUUGUCCGUGAAAACUCACAGCUUAACUGUGGGCGUGCGGGCGAUACGGGCAGACUGGAGUACUGCAGGGGAGACUGGAAUUCCUGGUGUAGCGGUGGAAUGCGCAGAUAUCAGGAGGAACACCGGUGGCGAAGGCGGGUCUCUGGGCAGUAACUGACGCUGAGGAGCGAAAAGCGUGGGGGAGCGAACAGG